AGCUUGCUAUUCUUCGAGAGUUAGAGGAAUAGCAAACUAGGAAUAAGCUAAGCAUGAAUACAGCAAGCUA
rnacentral:tRNA from 1 species